rnacentral:rRNA from 2 species
AGGUGUGAUCAUACCAGCAAUAAUGCACCAAGUCUCAUCAGAACUUCGUAGUUGAGCGUUCUUGGGCAAAAGUAAUACUAGGAUGGGUAACCUCCUAGGAGGUUGCAACCAAGUUC